UCGUACGCCAACAGAACAGAAUAGCGCCAGGCGACAGCCGACAACCGACGCAGCAGCAAGUCAAACGCGCUGGAUGGAUGGAGUCUUGUUCAGGCAGAGUCAAGUUUACUCAGUCAAUUGUCGAGUCAGUUUAAGUUUGGCAACGUUCGUAGUUGGACGUGUGUUUUUGUGUAACGGAAUGUUAGGGCAACUGCGCCGCGCUCAACCACAGUUUGGAAUGUUGACACUCUGUUUGAUUUCGUUAAAUACCUACUAAAUGUAUAAGAUACAAAUUGUAAAUUUUGUGUGUGGAUUUGAAUAAUUAUUCUAAAGUGCGCUUUUAAAUGCUAGUGGCAGUGUAACGCCAUUUGCCAUUGAAUUCGAUAAACGCUGUGUGGUGUGGUGGUGACGCAGCGUAAAAAGGUGUUGCAAGACAUUGGUAGCAACAGCCACCGAGCGAGUUAUGUACGUACUAUAAAGUGAGUGCGCCAGUUAGUUGACGAGCGAGUAACAACAUUUGAAAAUACAUUGAAACCGGUUUGUUUGUCUUUUGCUCAAAAUCACCAGAGAACCAGUGUUUUGUCUGCACUUCGUGUUAAAAAAUCCCAGCAAGCCAAUUUUUAUUGCAACCUGAAUGUGACUGACUGAUAUUUUUAGAGGUGAGAAACUUAUUAAACUCAAUGAAAUAUUUUAAAUAGAGAGAUACUGCAAAACUCGCACAUGAUACGAGUAUCAAUCGUACAUAAAUGCAAAGCUAAAAGAUUAAAGGAAAUGCUCUAAGGAAAAUGCCACAACUCCGUGCAGCUUAGCUAAUAAUUUUCAAUAUGCCCUUUACUUAAUGCCAAUGAAGUGCACAAAUAGAAUGCACAACGCUAAUAAAUUCAAUUCAAUGCAGCAUGCGCAGCACGCCCACGCAACGCAGAAUCGCCACGCAUCAUUGGCAGACAAACAAACACACCCGUAGUGCAUUGACUGCCAUAUCGCGCAUAGUAAUUGAAGCGAAGCCACGGAAAUAAUCCUAUCAGCAAGCGAACGAUAAGUACACACACACACUCACACACAGGCAUUAGCAAAUCAAGCAACUAACGCAGACAAGUCACCAACUAGUACUAACGUACAUAAACGUCCGUCCGUCCGUCCAUGCGCGCGCUGUUUACAUUGGCAAGUUAUUACAGCCACCAGAACAACAACAGCAGCAACAACAACUAAGUAAUAUCCGAACUACUGCUGGGCGGCAGCUCAAUCACGGAAGUAACAAACGCAAAACGCGCUCCUUCUUCUUCCGCGCCAAGCGUCUCCACAUCCGUUUGCUGCUGUGCUGCUGUCCUGUUUGACUCGCGCGCCAGCUAGCGCAUAGCGAAAAGGAGUAAUCGAAAAGAAAAAAAAAAA